GCCCCGGUGGAUCAAUUGGAUAGAUCACUAGAUUGCUACUCUUGUGGUUGCAGGUUCGAGCCCUGCCCGGGGCG
rnacentral:tRNA from 1 species